UCGAGAAUUUUUCACAAUGGGCGAAAGCCUGAUGGAGCGACGCCGCGUGGGGGAUGAAUGGCUUCGGCCCGUAAACCCCUGUCAUUUGCGAGCAAUGCUAUGGUGUGAACAGCAUCAUGGUUGAUAGUAGCAAAAGAGGAAGGGACGGCUAACUCUGUGCCAGCAGCCGCGGUAAUACAGAGGUCCCAAGCGUUGUUCGGAUUCACUGGGCGUAAAGGGUGCGUAGGUGGCAAGGUAAGUUCGAUGUGAAAUCUCCGGGCUCAACCCGGAAACUGCAUUGAAUACUCUCUUGCUCGAGGAUUGGAGGGGGGACUGGAAUUCUCGGUGUAGCAGUGAAAUGCGUAGAUAUCGAGAGGAACACCGGUGGCGAAGGCGAGUCCCUGGACAAUUCCUGACACUGAGGCACGAAAGCUAGGGGAGCAAACA
rnacentral:rRNA from 1 species